GACGAACGCUGGCGGCGUGCUUAACACAUGCAAGUCGAACGGAAAGGCCCUUCGGGGUACUCGAGUGGCGAACGGGUGAGUAACACGUGGGUGAUCUGCCCUGCACUUUGGGAUAAGCCUGGGAAACUGGGUCUAAUACCGAAUAGGACCACGCGCUUCAUGGUGUGUGGUGGAAAGCUUUUGCGGUGUGGGAUGGGCCCGCGGCCUAUCAGCUUGUUGGUGGGGUAAUGGCCUACCAAGGCGACGACGGGUAGCCGGCCUGAGAGGGUGACCGGCCACACUGGGACUGAGAUACGGCCCAGACUCCUACGGGAGGCAGCAGUGGGGAAUAUUGCACAAUGGGCGCAAGCCUGAUGCAGCGACGCCGCGUGAGGGAUGACGGCCUUCGGGUUGUAAACCUCUUUCAAUAGGGACGAAGCGCAAGUGACGGUACCUAUAGAAGAAGCACCGGCCAACUACGUGCCAGCAGCCGCGGUAAUACGUAGGGUGCGAGCGUUGUCCGGAAUUACUGGGCGUAAAGAGCUCGUAGGUGGUUUGUCGCGUUGUUCGUGAAAACUCACAGCUUAACUGUGGGCGUGCGGGCGAUACGGGCAGACUAGAGUACUGCAGGGGAGACUGGAAUUCCUGGUGUAGCGGUGGAAUGCGCAGAUAUCAGGAGGAACACCGGUGGCGAAGGCGGGUCUCUGGGCAGUAACUGACGCUGAGGAGCGAAAGCGUGGGGAGCGAACAGGAUUAGAUACCCUGGUAGUCCACGCCGUAAACGGUGGGUACUAGGUGUGGGUUCCUUCCUUGGGAUCCGUGCCGUAGCUAACGCAUUAAGUACCCCGCCUGGGGAGUACGGCCGCAAGGCUAAAACUCAAAGGAAUUGACGGGGGCCCGCACAAGCGGCGGAGCAUGUGGAUUAAUUCGAUGCAACGCGAAGAACCUUACCUGGGUUUGACAUGCACAGGACGCCGGCAGAGAUGUCGGUUCCCUUGUGGCCUGUGUGCAGGUGGUGCAUGGCUGUCGUCGGCUCGUGUCGUGAGAUGUUGGGUUAAGUCCCGCAACGAGCGCAACCCUUGUCCUAUGUUGCCAGCGGGUUAUGCCGGGGACUCGUAGGAGACUGCCGGGGUCAACUCGGAGGAAGGUGGGGAUGACGUCAAGUCAUCAUGCCCCUUAUGUCCAGGGCUUCACACAUGCUACAAUGGCCGGUACAAAGGGCUGCGAUGCCGUGAGGUGGAGCGAAUCCUUUCAAAGCCGGUCUCAGUUCGGAUCGGGGUCUGCAACUCGACCCCGUGAAGUCGGAGUCGCUAGUAAUCGCAGAUCAGCAACGCUGCGGUGAAUACGUUCCCGGGCCU
rnacentral:rRNA from 1 species